GCCCGGGUAGCUCAGCAGGCCAGAGCAGCCGUUUCGUAAUCGGCAGGUCGUGGGUUCGAUUCCCGCCCCGGGCUCCA
rnacentral:tRNA from 1 species